AAAUGAUUAUUACUUUGGGGUCAGACUCAGACUGUUCAAGGACGGAUUUUUUUUUUUUUAACUUACUACGUCAAACGCCAUUGAAUUUCAAGAUUGAAAAGAAUCAUGACUUCCUGACAAAUACGACCAAAACGCUUGGCUGAAACAUUCUCAGUGACAGGAAACUCACUACCUCACUACUUCUGGUCUUUUCCAUUUCGCUUUCCUUUCCCACUCCUCCCGAUUUUUACAAUCUUUAUUGCAGCAUUUUGCACACCUGAUGCACAGAGGCCUGUUAGUCUGUAAGUGGGAGGGACAGAGGGAACCCCAGGGCCCAGUCCAGGGCCUGAGACUCCCGGGCUCAGAGUGGGCGCGCGGUAGCUGACAGUUGGGUAAGGUAGCGGCGCCACCUUUCUGCCGAGUUCGCCUCGAGUCUCGGCUUUCCUGCGGGCACAGGGUCCUUCUCCCCGGACUCCUCGCUUUUCCUCCCCCAGGUCCGCCGCCACGCGCAGCCGCAUCCCCGCCGCCGCCCCCGUCACCUGCGCGCCCGCCCUGACGGCUCGGGGGCCACUCCUGCCGCCCCGGGAGCGGUGGCGGAGGGCGCGGGGCGCGCGGGCGGCGACCCGACCUUUCCUCCCUUCUCUCCCCCAACUCCCGCCUCUCCCUCCGCUCCCCCUCAGCCCCUCCUUCCACACUCCGCUGCCUCCUCUCUCUUGACAGCUGCCCGGCACCUUCGGCAGGGAGUUUGGAGCCGCCCCACCGCAGAGCCUACAGCCGGCCGAGACCCCGCGCCGCCGCCAUCUCUGCCUCCGCCUGGGUGGGACCUGGGCCUCGAGGUCUCCUUCCUACUUUGGAAACUGAAGGGACUGCGACGGAAACCAGUAAGCCCUGGGGCCCGGAGGAAGGAUUUGUUGGUUUGGAUGACAAAAGAAAAAAAAAUGUGCUCUAGGGAUGGUUUAGCCCGGAGCUUCUGUUUCCACCAUCUCCGGCUCUCCCCAAGCAAAUUAAUAAAACAAAACAAAAACAACAAAACCCAAUCCCAACCAAAGCAUUUAUUUAAAGGGACUUGUAGGGAUGUGAAAAAGAGACCCAACCGAGGAAUCAUUUUGGAAACCCCAGGUAGGAUGAGGCCAUUUGAGAAAGUGGGAAUUUGGGGGUGUUAUUUCUAGGGCUUGGGUUUGCAAGCAGAAGAGGAGACUGGCUCUUGUAAGCCUGAGGGAGUUCCUUAUAUUGAGGGACUGCCUGGAGUGUCCUCUGUUAACUUUCAUUUCCUUAAGUAUUAAAGUAUGUUGAAACAAAUAGCUCUUUCAGAGCUCUGGACUUGGAGUCAGAACAUCUGGCUUUUGGUAUGAUUUGCCAUUUAUGGUGACAGCUGUGGUUAGUUUAAUUUCUUUGGGCCUCAGUUUCCUCAUCUGUCAAGUUCUGAGGGCCUUUUAAUAAUAUCUAAGAUGUUUCCCAACUUAAAAAUUUAUAAUUCUUUAACUUUUUAACAUGUUACAAACAUUGCUAGAUUCAUAAUUUCAUGAAAUUUUAAAAAUCUAUACUGAUCUUGGCAUUUUUGUUCAUAUGCAUUUAUGACUUAUGAUUUUUGGGUUUUCCAACCAAAACUUAAAGAGAAAAACACUUAUAAAAGAGCUCAGAAAUAUGUAGUUUAUAUGUAAAUAUUUAGAUCAUCUCUGAGUCUAGCUUGAAGAAUCAUGUUCAACUUGAAGUUAAUAUUUGCAACACUGCAACAAAAACAUGUGGCUUUAGUAUAAGUACUUAUUCACUUUCAGUAUUGUAUAUUUGGAGGAAAUAAAAGUUGUUUUGGAGGAAAACAAAAAUUGCACCUUUCCUAUCAAUUUCUGCUCUUGAACAGUGUUACUUUUUAGCAUGAAGUUGUGUGCAGGAUAUUAAAAAAAUGGUUUCAGACCACUUUAGAGCCUCUCUGAAAUUAAGUUCAGUAGCAGAGGUGCCAAUUUUAGUAAUGCAUUUUAGUUGUCUUGGGAUGAAUCCUAGAAAAAUAGCAGAGUUAACUAAAUAGAUAAACCAGAAAUUAGGAAUUGACACACAGACACACACAAAGUUGUACAAGAAGUGUGUACUAUAAAGUGUCAGCGAGAUUUUUAUUUCCUUUUGAUAAAAAACAACAAACAACUGUUGACUUGUUUUAGCAGACAGAAUGUUAGAAUAGCUUUUGUUGUUCCUUAUAAUUCAGAAUUAUUUGAGACUUAGUCAUCAGUAGUUGGGAUAGGUUUAGAAGUGUCUCUGGCUCUUUCUGGUGGCUUUGAUCUAAAAUAAAACAAUGUGUUCCCACCUAGCAUGUGCUUUGUAUUCCAUUUGGAAGAGUGAUAUAGAUUUGAAGUACUCUUUUAUGAACACAUUUAAAUUUAUUUUCAUUGCCUUUUCACCCUUGGACUGGAAGUAUCAUCAAUUAUUCAGGCAUUUGUCUUCCAUGAUAGCCUCUGGUGACGUAGAUGAUCAUCUCCUUUGAAAGAGAUGCCCAGAAUGUUAAAGAAAUUGGUUGUUGAAUGAACAGAGAGUAGUAGAACUCAAAUAUCCCGGCUUCUAGUCGCUUGUUGGAAAACAACUGAAAACAGUGGAUGGAUCU
ensembl:lncRNA